UACGAAGGGGGCUAGCGUUGCUCGGAAUCACUGGGCUUAAAGGGCGCGUAGGCGGGCUGCCAAGUUCGGGGUGAAAUCCUCCCGCUCAACGGGAGAACGGCCUCGAAUACUGGCGGUCUCGAGGGAGGUAGGGGCGUGCGGAACUAUGGGUGGAGCGGUGAAAUGCGUUGAUAUCCAUAGGAACUCCGGUGGCGAAGGCGGCACGCUGGACCUCUUCUGACGCUGAGGCGCGAAAGCCAGGGGAGCAAACGGG
rnacentral:rRNA from 1 species